CUUCUCUUUCCUUCUUCUUCUUUUUUCUUCCUCUUCUUCUCUCUGUCGAUUUUAUUUUCCGUGGAUUGAGCUCGAAACUCUCGUGAAUAAUUCAUUUAAAGCUUUUAGUCAUUAAAUAGAUGAUGUAGGUGUUGGUGCUAUGGUUGUUUGAGCACGGGAAGAAUAAGUCCGAGUUGCUGCUGUAAAUCGAGAACAAGGUUUUGUUUCUGAGAUGAAGAAGAUCAAGAGCAAUUGAUGAUUCAGAUGAGAACCUUGAUGUUUGACUGUGGUGGUGUUGAUUAGGGUUGAUGUUUCAGAAUCGAGGAAAAAGAUGAGAAAGAUGAAUUGGUGAAUUGAAUUUUGUUGUUGGUGUUUCGGAAUUAGAGUCCUGUGAUCUGAAGUUGGACAUGAACCGGAUAUUGGCUAGCCAGAUAAGAUGGUUAUGGUUGUGGUGCUGCUGAACUGAGUUGGUGGUGAUUUUUAACAGAAGUUGAAAUUAUUAUUGAAGAUAAUGGAGCUGGUGGUGAAAGGUUGCAACAGAUGUGGUUUGAAUGUGUGGGCGGUAGACGUUGUGUGUGUUGAAUGAGUCGAAGUUAAUUGAUAUGAGCUAUAUGUACAAACUGUGCAUAUGAAAUUGUAGCAGAAGGUAUGCAAGACAUGAAAGGGAUUAGGAGAAUGAUGGUAGGUGCAUGGAAAGUGAAAUGGAGAGGAUGAUGAAAUUGAGUAUGAGCAGUUGGUGGUGGUGGUGGCAAUAAGAGUGUAAUUGAGUUACAGAUAUACACAAGGAAGGAUUGAUGAAUUACAAAGAAAAAAGCUAGUAUUGUAGUGAUGCUAGAGUUGCAGUUGAUUUAUGUGUUGAGAUUGAAUUUGAAGUAGAGGUUGCUGAUGCUGACCUAAGUGUGGUGCUGCUGUGAUGGACUUGAAGCAGUGAGACAAGAAAAGGGUGUCUACUGAUGUGUUAUAGUUAGUGAGGCAGAUGUGGGGAUAGUGAUGUUGAUCAAGAUGAGAUGUUGAAUCUCAUAUGUGGAGGUUGAGUUAAAGGUUGGUGCUAGGUUUAUAUGUCAAUGCAGAUGGGAGCUGAAAUGUACGCAAGUGGAACUGGUGUUGCGGGGUUGUUGUAAUGAUGUUCAGUUGUUGGUAGAAGUUAAGAUGUGUUUGUUGCAGGUGGAAUCUGGUUGUGUAGAGAGUGAUUCUGAAUCUAAGUUGAAUUGAAGAAAUGGUGUCAGUAUUGAAGUGGUUUGAAGGUGAAGUUGUAGAUGAUUUGCAUAUGAAGUAGUAAUGGUGUCGAUUGAUAAUCAAGAAUGAGAGGCGGGGGUUGUAUUUAGUUAAGCUGUAGGGUUGUAAUUGAAUUAGAAAUGCAUCCUUUGUGUCUUGAUCUGUUUGUGUUGUAUCAUGAGCUUAAAUUUUUUAGUCA